UACGGGGGGAGCAAGCGUUGUUCGGAUUUACUGGGCGUAAAGGGCGCGUAGGCGGCACCGCAAGUCAGUUGUGAAAUCUCUGGGCUUAACCCAGAAAGGUCAACUGAUACUGCGGGGCUAGAGUGCAGAAGGGGCAACUGGAAUUCUCGGUGUAGCGGUGAAAUGCGUAGAUAUCGGGAGGAACACCAGAGGCGAAGGCGGCCACCUGGACAGAGAUUGACGCUGAGACGCGAAAGCGUGGGGAGCAAACAGG
rnacentral:rRNA from 1 species